UACGUAGGCAGCGAGCGUUGUUCGGAGUUACUGGGCGUAAAGGGUGUGUAGGCGGUUGUUUAAGUUUGGUGUGAAAUCUCCCGGCUCAACUGGGAGGGUGCGCCGAAUACUGAAUGACUUGGAGUGCGGGAGAGGUGAGUGGAAUUCCUGGUGUAGCGGUGAAAUGCGUAGAUAUCGGGAGGAACACCUGUGGCGAAAGCGGCUCACUGGACCACAACUGACGCUGAGGCGCGAAAGCUAGGGGAGCAAACAGG
rnacentral:rRNA from 1 species